GACGAACGCUGGCGGCGUGCUUAACACAUGCAAGUCGAACGAAGUGGCGAACGGGUGAGUAACGCGUAAUCAACCUGCCCCUCAGAGGGGGACAACAGUUGGAAAUGACUGCUAAAACCGCAUAUUGAAGGAGGGGAGUGUGUUUGAUUAGCUAGUUGGAGGGGUAACGGCCCACCAGGGCGCUGAUCAGUAGCCGGUCUGAGAGGAUGAACGGCCACAUUGGGACUGGGACACGGCCCAGACUCCUUCGGGAGGCAGCAGUGGGGAAUCUUCCGCAAUGGACGAAAGUCUGACGGAGCAACGCCGCGUGAGUGAUGACGGCCUUCGGGUUGUAAAGCUCUGUUAAUCGGGACGCGGUACCGGAAUAGGAAGCCACGGCUAACUACGUGCCAGCAGCCGCGGUAAUUC
rnacentral:rRNA from 1 species